rnacentral:rRNA from 1 species
GACGAACGCUGGCGGCGUGCUUAACACAUGCAAGUCGAACGGAAAGGCCCUGCUUUUGUGGGGUGCUCGAGUGGCGAACGGGUGAGUAACACGUGAGUAACCUGCCCUUGACUUUGGUAUAACUUCAGGAAACUGGGGCUACUACCGGAUAGGAGCUCCUGCUGCAUGGUGGGGGUUGGAAAGUUUCGGCGGUUGGGGAUGGACUCGCGGCUUAUCAGCUUGUUGGUGGGGUAGUGGCUUACCAAGGCUUUGACUGGUAGCCGGCCUGAGAGGGUGACCGGCCACAUUGGGACUGAGAGACGGCCCAGACGCCUACGGGAGGCAGCAGUGGGGAAUAUUGCACAAUGGGCGGAAGCCUGAUGCAGCAAUGCCGCGUGCGGGAUGACGGCCUGCGGGUUGUAAACCGCUUUCGCCUGUGACGAAGCGUGAGUGACGGUAAUGGGUAAAGAAGCACCGGCUAACUACGUG